CGGGUACCAAUUUUAUCCGUGCCGUACCAGAAAUUGAGCGCAGUGUAAACGGGGCUUUAGUGUCCCCUAUCUGAACUUUUACUCCAGUAAAAAAUGCAAUUUACGCGCAGCUAUUUUGCUGUUGCAUUUGUGUGUACAAAACUGAUACUACUUCAUAUAUUGUAAUUGCAAAAUAGGCUAAAUUGAUGACUCUUUUGAAAAAUAAGUAUAUAAUUAUUCAAUCGAACCUAACAUAUAUAGAGUCGAGAUUUUGAGGAUUUAGAAUCCGUUGCCGAUGUCCGUCUUAUGUUGUACCUGCAAGCAACUCUUAACAUUUUCAACAAUAUUUUUGCUAUUAGGCCUACCAUUUUAAAUUAAAUAUUGUUUUCAAAAUUAUUAGUAGCUAUAUGUAAUAGGAUAGUUACGAGUGCAAUUUGGAUAAACAUGCACGAGUGAGUUUUUAAAAAUAGCACAAGGUGACUAUUUGAGGUUUUAAAAAGAGUGCUCGUUUGAGAGCCAGUUGUUUAAAAACUCACGAGUGUUUGUUUUAUCCACGUUGCGCGAGGAAAUAUGCUAUGUAAUGUUACUUAUUAGCAAUCACGCAUGAAAAAUUGUAUAGAACUCCACUAAUUGAAAACUUCUUGCUUUAUUUUUUAAAAAC